rnacentral:lncRNA from 1 species
UAACCCCCUUCUUACCCCACUGUCAGCUGCUCCAGCCAGACCGGGGCAGAGAAGAGAGGAGCAGACCGUCCCUGGCGGCCCACCUGACCUCCCAGCCUUUACCCCCAUUUCCUUCUACCAGACAGACAGACGGACUGGUUUCCCAGGUUGUCUGGGUGUCAGCGUCUGUCUGUCCAUCUGUGUGGUUCUCAGGUGGAAGGUAGGGCGUGAGAAGUGCUGGGAGGGAGGCGAGGGGGGCGGCUUUCCAGGGGUUGCCUUGCUGAAAUGUUCGGCCCUGGGGAUCUGGGUCUGGUGGGGAGCCCGUGGGCAGGAUGGGGCGUGGGCCGGGAGAAGCGGGGGCACGCGGGUAGGUUUGUCACUGCGUAGUUGGGGAAAGUGGGGACUGGUGACGCAGUCACUGUGGGAUCUUGUUAGGCGCUCUGGGGGGACAGGUAGUGGGGCUGCCGGGACCUAUAGGGCCAGCUGAGAGGGGUUAAGGAUGAGCUGAGAAGGGAAGCUAGCAUUUAGAGAUUAAAUGUCAUCCUUUUGGCGUUGGAAAGUUGUUUACCUUGCGCUCUCUGUGUCUCCAUGUUGGCACCCUUCCAGUUCACAUGUGAUGGCCUUCCUUGUACUGCUGCAUCAUUAACUAAGUGACUGAGCUGGCCUUCCAUUGGCCAGGGGAGGGCUCUCACGCCAGACACUUCCUCUGAUUGGUGGGCGGGCCAGUGGCAGGUGAAAACCUCUUUUUGAUUGGCUGAAGGCAGGGUAUCAAAUCUGAAUUUGCAUUUCACUUGCUUAAAGGGGAGGGGGAGAAGCCCAGCAGCCUUCUAAAAUCUGUUUAGGGGUGUGCGUAUGCUUCUGCGCGUAUGCUUUCUUCUGACUGACCAGUCGAAGCCUCUUCCUGUGCCUUUUUAAUUAUUUCAUGCGCUAUGAGGAAGAGGAGCCGAGAGCUCCCCAAACUUUUUUUUUUUUUUUUUUGUUGGGGCGAAGGUUGAGGAGAUGGGAGCGCAGGGGGAUGACCAAACUGGAAGGAAAUAUUCGUUCUUUAGUUUGGUGUCAGAAAAGGGAAUUUUCCAAUCAGCCACACCUCAGUGUUGCGGCAAAAUAAUUCUUGGCUCCCCUGGAAACGCAUGGGCAAGGUAGGGCAGAGCNUUUUUUUUUUUUUUUUUGGUUGGGGCGAAGGUUGAGGAGAUGGGAGCGCAGGGGGAUGACCAAACUGGAAGGAAAUAUUCGUUCUUUAGUUUGGUGUCAGAAAAGGGAAUUUUCCAAUCAGCCACACCUCAGUGUUGCGGCAAAAUAAUUCUUGGCUCCCCUGGAAACGCAUGGGCAAGGUAGGGCAGAGCUGCUGCUGCCACCACCCUCGGCUUCCUGCUGACUCUGGGCCACUCCCCGGGGACAAGA